rnacentral:rRNA from 1 species
GACGAACGCUGGCGGCGUGCUUAACACAUGCAAGUCGAACGAAGAGCGACGGAAGCUUGCUUCGAUCACUCUUAGUGGCGAACGGGUGAGUAACGCGUAAUCAACCUGCCCUUCAGAGGGGGACAACAGUUGGAAACGACUGCUAAUACCGCAUACGAUCUAACCUCGGCAUCGAGGAUAGAUUAAAGGUGGCCUCUACAUGUAAGCUAUCAGUGAAGGCGGGGAUUGCGCCUGAUUAGCUAGUUGGGGGGGUAACGGCCAACCAAGGCGAUGAUCAGUAGCCGGUCGGAGAGGAUGAACGGCCACAUUGGGACUGAGACACGGCCCAGACUCCUACGGGAGGCAGCAGUGGGGAGUCUUCCGCAAUGGACGAAAGUCUGACGGAGCAACGCCGCGCGAGGGAGGACGGCCGUCGGGUUGUAAAGCUCUGUUAAUCGGGACGAACGGCCUUCUUGCGAAUAGGGAGAAGGAUUGACGGUACCGGAAGAGAAAGCCACGGCUAACUACGUG